GAUGAAGAACGUAGCGAAAUGCGAUAAGUAGUGUGAAUUGCAGAAUUCAGUGAAUCAUCGAAUCUUUGAACACACAUUGCGCCCUUUGGUAUUCCAAAGGGCAUGCCCGUUCGAGCGUCAUUUGUACCCUCAAGCUUUGCUUGGUGUUGGGCGUCUUGUCUCUAGCUUUGCUGGAGACUCGCCUUAAAGUAAUUGGCAGCCGGCCUACUGGUUUCGGAGCGCAGCACAAGUCGCACUCUCUAUCAGCAAAGGUCUAGCAUCCAUUAAGCCUUUUUUUCAACUUUUGACCUCGGAUCAGGUAGGGAUACCCGCUGAACUUAAGCAUAUCAAUAAGCGGAGGA
rnacentral:misc_RNA from 1 species